rnacentral:lncRNA from 1 species
CAGACAGGAAGCUUGGGUGCAGGUGGGCUGUGAGCUGAAUGCUUGCAACAGGAUGUUUGGGUGCUAGUGAGCUGUUUGCUGUUGACCCUAUUUCUCAGAACAUUCACUCCCCUCUACCCCUGUGUCUGUUCUUGCCAGCUAAGCUCAUUUCCAAUUUUCUUUUAGCUCCUUAGGGCUCCACAUGCGUGACUUAUUAGAGGAGCAAAAGAAGCCGAAUAUGGAAGGGGAAAGCCUUGGCCUGAUCCAGGGUGCUCUAGAACAAAUUCCUCCCACUGAACUGUCCUGCUGUGGGGCAAGCAGGUCUAUAAGCCAUCUGGAAUUCAUUGUUGGUUUAUGGUGUGAGGGUCCUGCCAGGUUUUGGAAUCAAGGUUAUGCCAGCCUCAUUGAACUAGUUGACAAGUGUUCUUAUUUUUUCUGUUCUCUGGAAGAGUUCAUGUAAGAUUCGUAUUAUUUCUUCCUUAAAUAUUUGAAAGAAUUCACCAGUGAAGACACCUGGGCCUGGAGUUUUCUGGUUUUGGUGUGUUUGUUUGAUUUGGUGGUAAGUAGAAGGUGUGUUUUGAAAUCCUGUCUGUCCCAGAGGCCUUGACACUUGCUGACCCCGCAUAGCUCCACAUGGCUGCUCCUUUGGGAAUCCAGGUCUCUGCUCAGAUGCCAUCUCCUCAGAGAGGUCUUCCAUUACUUCCCCAGCUGAAGCAGCACUCACUCCCCUCAGCUGCACUUUCUAUUUUUUUUUUUUCUUCUUGAGACAAGGUCUCACUCUGUCGCCCAGGCUGGAGUGCAGUGGCUCAAUCAUAGCUCACUGUAGCCUCGACCUCCUUGUCUCAAGUGAUGCUCCCACCUCAGCCCCCCAAGUAGCUGGGACUACAGACACGUGCCACCACACCCGGCAAAUUUUUGUAUGUUUUGUAUAGAUAAGGAUUCGCCAUAUUGCCCAGGCUGGUCUUGAACUCCUGAGCUCAAGUGAUCCCCAACCUUAGCCUCCCAAAAUGCUGGGAUUACAGGCAUGAGCCACUGCCCCUGGCCCUUUCUAUUUUUUUAUAUACAGGCUUAUCACUCCCUGAAAUUAACCUUCCCCAAAAUCUGUUCAUUUGUUUAUUGUGUGUUUGCCCUGUUAGAAUGUGAGCUCCAUGGGGCCAGGGAUCUCAUCAAUUUCAUUCAUUCUGAAUCCCCAGCACUCAGCACACAGCAGCACUCAACAAAUAUUUUUCAAGAGACUAAAUGAAAGGAAGUCAAAUGGAGGCCCUUUCCCCACAAAGUCACAAGAAGCACAAUGAAUCACUUUUAUUUUUUAUUUUUAUUUUUUAUUUGAGAUGGAGUCUUGCUCUGUUGCCCAGGCUGGAGUACAGGGGCGCAAUCUUGGCUCACUGCAACCUCUGCCUCCUAGGUCCAAGCAAUUCUCCUGCCUCAGCCUCCUGAGUAGCUGGGAUUACAGGUGCUCACCACCCCAACUAAUUUUUGUAUUUUUAUUUAUUUAUUUAUUUUUAUUUUUUUCACCAGGCUGGAGUGCAGUGGCAUGAUCUUGGCUCAGUGCAACCUCUGCCUCCCGGGUUCAAGCGCUUCUCCUGCCUCAGCCUCCUGAGUGGCUGGGACUAGACGCACAUGCCACCACAAUCCAGCUAAUUUUUGUAUUUUUAGUAGAGAUGGGGUUUCAGCAUGUUGGCCAGGAUAGUCUCAAUCUCUUGGCCACAUGAUACGCCCAUCUGAGCCUCCCAAAGUGCUGGGAUUACAGGCGUGAGCCACCGUGCCCAGCCAAAUUUUUGUAUUUUUAGUAGAGACAGGAUUUCACCAUAUUGGCCAGGCUGGUCUCGAACUCCUGACCUCAAGUGAUCCGCCUGCCUCAGCCUCCCAAAGUGCUGGGAUUACAGGCAUGAGCCACCGUGCCCAGCUGAACCUUACUUUAAAAAAUGUUUUAAUAGACAUUUUUUUAGAGCAGUUUUAGGAGCACAGCAAAAUUGAGCCAAAGGUACAGCGAUUUUUCACAUACCCCCUGCCUGUACACACGCCUAGCCUCUCCGAUUACCAACAUCCCCCACCAGAGUGGUACAUUUCUUACAACUGAUGAGCCCAUUUGAUGCAUCAUGAUCACCCAGUCUGUAGUUUACAUUAGGGUUUACUCUUGGUGUUGUACAUUCUGUGGGUUCAAGCAAAUUUGUAAUGCCGUGUAUCUAAAAGCCUCAUCUUUUUAAUAAUUAAAGUUGACCAUUGUCUUCACUGAACUUACACAGAAACAAAACCAUGCAAUAUAAUUCUGUAUUCCUUGCCAAGUUACAAUGUCAUUGUGGAACAAAAUGCAAUGAACAUGAAAAUAAGACUUUCUCAGCUUCUUUGUAAAUGGAACUGUUUAAUAUUAUUUUGUUAAUGGGUAGAAUAAAAUGUAAUCUGA